rnacentral:rRNA from 1 species
GCUAAACGCGAAGAACCUUACCUGGUCUUGACAUGCACUGUGUCUCCCGUGAAAGCGGGAUAGGAUAGCAAUAUCCGCUUCGCACAGGUGCUGCAUGGCCGUCGUCAGCUCGUGUCGUGAGAUGUUGGGUUAAGUCCCGCAACGAGCGCAACCCUUGUGAACAGUUGCCAGCGGUUCGGCCGGGAACUCUGUUCAGACUGCCCAGAUCAACUGGGAGGAAGGUGGGGACGACGUCAGGUCAGUAUGGCCCUUACGCCCAGGGCUGCACACGUACUACAAUGCCCAGCACAAUGAGAACCGAUGCCGCGAGGUGGAGGAAAUCUGCAAAACUGGGCCCAGUUCGGAUUGGAGGCUGCAACUCGCCUCCAUGAAGUUGGAAUCGCUAGUAAUGCCGUAUCAUCUACGACGGCG